rnacentral:rRNA from 1 species
UUGAACGCUGGCGGCAUGCCUUACACAUGCAAGUCGAACGGUAACAGGUCUUCGGAUGCUGACGAGUGGCGAACGGGUGAGUAAUACAUCGGAACGUGCCCGAGAGUGGGGGAUAACGGGGCGAAAGCUUUGCUAAUACCGCAUACGAUCUACGGAUGAAAGCAGGGGACCGCAAGGCCUUGCGCUCAUGGAGCGGCCGAUGGCAGAUUAGGUAGUUGGUGGGAUAAAAGCUUACCAAGCCGACGAUCUGUAGCUGGUCUGAGAGGGCGACCAGCCACACUGGAACUGAGACACGGUCCAGACUCCUACGGGAGGCAGCAGUGGGGAAUUUUGGACAAUGGGGGCAACCCUGAUCCAGCCAUUCCGCGUGAGUGAAGAAGGCCUUCGGGUUGUAAAACUCUUUCGGCAGGAACGAAACGGUGAGCUCUAACAUAGCUUGCUAAUGACGGUACCUGAAGAAGAAGCACCGGCUAACUACGU